CAAGUUGAUUUAUAGGAUUGGCUGGCAAAGCUUUGCAUACAGCUUUUUCUACAGUGGACCAACCAGCUCAUCCUUAAUGAAUGGUUGCUCUUAAAGCUGAGAGAUGUGUUCCCAACUGCUCUGAGCACCUUGGGCACGGAUGAGAAUUAGUACCAGGUUACAGGGACGUCGAGAGAUAGCUGAGCUAUCGUGGGCAGCUGUGAUUUGUGGGGUACCUCCAGGCAGGCAGCUUCCCCGGUGGGUAUGAUUCUUUUUGUUUGUUUGUUUUGCUCGUUACACAGUUCCUUGGCACAUCACCUUUUACCUUGUCUCCAAAUGACUGUUUUUUCCUCUGCAUCCCACUCGGUGACUCAGAUUGAGGGCGUCUUAUUCAGUACGGUCUGUUUCUUGGUUUGGGGGUUUUUGUUUUUGGUUUUUUUUUUUCUUCUUCUUCUUUUCCAGAUGUAUGUGAGCUCUAGGAUGAUAACUUGAAUAGAAACAAGUAUUAUGAGUGGCUUUGGUGCUGUGCUCAGCUCUAGUUCUCCCAGAAGAUGAAAGGGGACAAGGCUUCAACGCACUACAGAGGACCCUCACUUUCCAUCCAGUGACAGUUGAUGACUGUACCCUUUGGAGCAGUGAUGUGCCCAAGGUCCCACAAGAAGUCUGUGGCAGAGCAAGAAGCAGGAGUGCUGCUUUUCUUUUCCUCAUACGUGCAUCUGGUGUUACAGGAUCACUUGUUCCAGCUGGGAAUGACCUCAGCCAGAGCCUGGCUUCACUGAAGCAGGGUUAGUGGUGUCCUCACCAGCAGGGCUUCCACCAGCAGAAACAGAGGCGGGGAAACGGAGCUGAGAUCGUGCAAAGUGAUCACUGCAGGAAAAAGAGGCUGAAACCACAUCCAUUUCUGUCCCUUGUCUGUGACUUUUCAGCUGUUGAACUUAUACAAGGGCCUCUUCUGCGUUCUGACUCCUGACUAUUGGUGAGGAGGUCACCAUCUCACUGCUCGUCUGGCAUAUCAUUACGGUACAGCUUUGCAUAGGUGAGAAGAAACAUCCUGGUGACACCUCUUAUGGAGCUGGUGGUGGGUUGUGACCGGUGGAGUCUCAGCACCAGUCUUCUGCUUGGGGAAAUAUAUCAGACCAUCUCCAUGAAUGAGCCAGAAGAAGUUGGUGAUAUUGCUUUGCCCAGAGGCUGCUGCAGCAGACAAAGUCUAGGCACAGACUGCAACAGGCUUUGGAUCAAGUCUACAACAAAGCUGUUCUAAGAUGACAGUGUCAGCAUACUGCUGUUUCCUGCAAAGUCAGCCUAGCCUGGAGCAGGAAUCACAAGAUUUCUCAUUCAGAGGGCUCUAACCAGCCCUUCUUCUGACCUGCAAAAACUCAUCCAGAAGCUGCCUUGGGAUGGUUGUAAAACCAUCUGGUGCCCAGUAUGUCGGUCCAUGAGAUCCACGCUGGCUGCUUCUACCCAGGCGGCUGCCACCAGCUCUGCCCAGCUGCAGCACUUGCACCAGCUUGCCCAGUGGCAGGGACUGGAACGGCCCUGAUGCCAAAGUCUGCGGUACUUCUUUGCUUGUGCUUAUGCCGGAGUCAUUUAUUUCGGUAGGUUAUGCUUUUUACUGAAAACAUGCUCUAUUGAAAUAGGGACUGCAAGCAACCGUGCCACGGGGGCUGCUGUAGCAGAUGUGCAACUGCAUGGGUUGCUGUGGGUAAGGUUGUACCCCCUCAUGUAGCCGAAGCGGUGCAGUUUGUGUGCUGAGGUGUGCCCAAGCUGAGAAUUUAUGUGUUUGCCUGGCUUCGUCUGUCCACUCCAGUAACUGCCUGGAAGGCAACAGCGGGUGAAGGGCACUGCAGCUGUGCAGCGGCUCUCCCCUCCCCAAUGAGCCAGCAGCGCUCCUCUCCAGCCUUUGAUUGGGAUUGCUUAGCUUUCCAAAUGAAGUUGAAAAAGCAAUUUGAGUGUCUCUUUGGGAGCCAUCUCAAAUAAAAUUGGGAUGACUUGGCAUGAAAGUGGGUGAUGGGUUUCACAUGGGGCUUUGCCUCCUUUCAGCUGCUCUGGUACUGCUGCCCUUUCAGUAAAGCUGCUGUGGUUGUGGGGGGAAGGCUUAAAGGAAAAGGGGAAGAAAACCAAAAAAAAGGAAAAGAAAAGGAUGGAAACUGCUCUUCUCUAGCAUGUUACCCAGCAGAGGAGGACUGAAAAGCUCUGCUCCUGGCAGCCAGUACAGGCCCUGGCUAAUAGGUGGGAGCAGGACACCUAUCUGAAGACAGAAGGCUUGAGGGGCUUGGUAGUGUUUGAGAUAUUUUUAAUUCCUUUCAACAAUUUGCCUCUCCUUUGUUGGCAAAAGCAAGUUGGAGUCUGGAAAGAAAAAUAUCUCACCACUUGGCAAAUUCCCUGAGAGAGCCAGUCCUAGCUUUUUGUCCAAGAACAUCUGAAGGCUCCCUUCUUGCUUGCCAUCAUCUUUUGGCAGGAAAAAGCAGCGAUGGAGCCCCAGGAGACAGCGUAUUAGCUCCAUCGGCGGGGCCAGCAGCAGGUCCCUGCAGCUGGAAGCCAGGGCAGCGCUCGGGUCUGUGCCUGCUUUGCAUUGCCCUCCCCGAACCUCGGGCCCAUUGUUGGCCCUGCAGGGGGGCUGGGGGGCUUCCCCAGCCUGCACGCCAAUCCGGAGCGCCUGGUGAGCCAUUUCUGGCACUCUCUAGGGCUAAUUUGCAUUUCUUUUUGUUGCACCAGCCCACCUUAAUGAGCAGUUCUGCCUUGCAUUUGACU